UAUGCAACUGCAGGAGUCCGAAUCUUCUUCGAACACAAGACUUAGCAAGUUAGCAAGCGAAGGCAACUUUCCGAGUGAGCUGAAGGCAUUGAUAAACAAGAGGUUUGCGUUUAAGAUAGCCAUAGCUUCGUUUAAUAUAAAAUAGAAAUCAGAUGGCUACUCUGUUUCCAAGUUGACUGAAAAUCCUUCCAUCAUCAAAGAUCUUGAUACUCAUUUUGAUGUUUACCAGGCUGCUGAUGAAGAACCUUUAGAUCCUGUUGCUUCUGAUCCAAAUCCAAUUGUUAACGUUAACAUCUGG